GUGCUUGCUUCAGCAGCACAUAUACUAAAAUCAGAAUGAUAGAGAGAUUAGCAUAACCCCCGCGCAAGGAUGACAUGCAAAUUCAUGAAGCCUUCCAUUAAAAA
ensembl:snRNA U6 U6 spliceosomal RNA